rnacentral:rRNA from 1 species
UACGUAGGGUGCGAGCGUUAAUCGGAAUUACUGGGCGUAAAGCGUGCGCAGGCGGCGCGUUAAGACAGGUGUGAAAGCCCCGAGCUUAACUUGGGAAUUGCGCUUGUGACUGGCGUGCUGGAGUGUGGCAGAGGGAGGUGGAAUUCCACGUGAGCAGUGAAAUGCGUAGAGAUGUGGAGGAACACCGAUGGCGAAGGCAGCCUCCUGGGCCAGCACUGACGCUCAUGCACGAAAGCGUGGGGAGCAAACAGG